AUGGGAACGCGAAGAACCUUACCUAGACUUGACAUCUCCUGAAUAGUGUAGAGAUACAUGAAGCCCUUCGGGGCGAGGAAGACAGGUGGUGCAUGGUUGUCGUCAGCUCGUGUCGUGAGAUGUUGGGUUAAGUCCCGCAACGAGCGCAACCCUUAUUACUAGUUGCUACCAUUAAGUUGAGCACUCUAGUGAGACUGCCCGGGGUUAACCGGGAGGAAGGCGGGGAUGACGUCAAAUCAUCAUGCCCCUUAUGUCUAGGGCAACACACGUGCUACAAUGGUGAGUACAGAUAGAUGCGAUACCGCAAGGUGGAGCCAAACUCUAAAACUCAUCCCAGUUCGGAUUGUAGGCUGCAACUCGCCUACAUGAAGUUGGAGUUGCUAGUAAUCGCGAAUCAGAAUGUCGCGGUGAAUACGUUCCCGGGUCUUGUACACACCG
rnacentral:rRNA from 1 species